rnacentral:hammerhead_ribozyme from 1 species
AUUCGGCUGACGAGUCCCAAAUAAGACGAAACGCGCUUUCUCGAU